rnacentral:rRNA from 1 species
GAUGAACGCUGGCGGCGUGCCUAACACAUGCAAGUCGAACGAUUAGAGCAGAUGCUGGUGUGUCUGAUGUGGCGAACGGAUGAGUAACACACGGGCGACCUGCCCCCUUCAUUGGGUGAGAUACGGGAGACAGUGGGUAAUAAAGAAUACUUCAAGUCUUCCGCCGGGAGGUCUCGAGGAAACUCGGGCGGUUAGGGAUGGGCCCGCGGCCUGUCAGCUUGUUGGUGAGGUAUGGGCAUACCAAGGCAAUGAAGGGUAGCGGGGCUGAGAGCUCGAACAGCCACCAUGGGACUGAGACACGGACCAGAAGCCUACGGGAGGCAGCAGUGGGGAAUCUUGCACAAUGGGCGAAAGCCUGAUGCAGCGACGCCGCGUGCGGGAUGAAGGCCUUCGGGUUGUAAACCUAUUUCAGCAGGGACGAGGCGAAAGUGACGGUACCUGCAGAAGAAGCCCCGGCUAACUACGUG